rnacentral:rRNA from 1 species
GACGAACGCUGGCGGCGUGCCUAAUACAUGCAAGUCGAACGGUCUUUUCUAUGGAAGCUUGCUUCCACUGAGAAGAUAGUGGCGAACGGGUGAGUAACACGUGGGUAACCCGCCCAUAAGAGGGGGAUAACAUCCGGAAACGGGUGCUAAUACCGCAUAGGGUUCUUGAUCGCAUGAUCGAGAAAGGAAAGACGGCCUUUGUGCUGUCGCUUAUGGAUGGACCCGCGGCGUAUUAGUUAGUUGGUGAGGUAACGGCCCACCAAGACGAUGAUACGUAGCCGACCUGAGAGGGUGAUCGGCCACAUUGGGACUGAGACACGGCCCAAACUCCUACGGGAGGCAGCAGUAGGGAAUCUUCCGCAAUGGACGAAAGUCUGACGGAGCAACGCCGCGUGAGUGAAGAAGGUUUUCGGAUCGUAAAACUCUGUUGUCAGAGAAGAACAAGUCGGAGAGUAACUGCUCCGGCCUUGACGGUAUCUGACCAGAAAGCCACGGCUAACUACGUGCCAGCAGCCGCAGUAAGAC